UACGUAGGGGGCAAGCGUUGUCCGGAAUUAUUGGGCGUAAAGAGCGCGCAGGCGGUAUGACAAGUCAGAUGUGAAAGAGGCCGGCUUAACCGGCAAGGGUCAUUUGAAACUGUCAGACUAGAGUGCAGCAGAGGAUAGUGGAAUUCCCGGUGUAGUGGUGAAAUGCGUAGAUAUCGGGAGGAACACCAGUGGCGAAGGCGACUAUCUGGGCUGCAACUGACGCUGAGGCGCGAAGGCUAGGGUAGCAAACAGG
rnacentral:rRNA from 1 species